GUUCCAACCAACAUCUCCAACUGGGCUGUGACAGGACCUCACCACUGAUGGACAUGUUUUAUUCGGGCCUUACUUAGAGACACUGAGGUCUCAAUACGCUUUGGACAAUAAACUGAGUCAGUCGGGAUUAAAAUGUGUGACUCAGAUGCCUAAUUCUGAAUGCUACUCUGUUGAAUUAGGAGGGCUUUUUUUUUUAGAGUGUGUUUGUUUUGGUUUUAAUUUAACAUGGAGAAUGGCAGAGACAAAUAGAUCUGUUCAAAAUAAACUGAGUAACAAAUUUUUGAGCUGUGGUGGUUACUAAUUUCAUGUAAGUGGCUCCUCUUUUUGUUUUUAUAAACUGUAAAAUUCAAGAGGAAGCAGAACCAAAUGUAAUAUACUUUUAUUGAUUGCCUGCUAGGUGCCAAGCAAGGUGUUAAAUGUUUGCAAAUGCUGCCUUAUUUAUCCUUGUCUUACAGAUGAGGAAAAAGGGAUGGGACAAGGUGAAAUAGACUGCCCUGCUGGAAAACAGCCUCGUCAUUUACAGAUCUGCCUCACUGCUGAAAAGAAUUUGACACAUUGUUUGAAAAUUAACUUCCUCAGAGCAGUAUCGAGCUACACUGUUCUCAGUGGACCUUGUCCUUCCAAUAGUAGCUGUCAAGAAGGUAAAUCAAGACACCAAAGGAAGAUAGUACACGAUGCCUCUCCUGGGAGGUUCUGUGAAGAGGAAAGAGGACAAAGCAACCAGAGGUGGUGGUGUUCGCCUUCUGCCUGCAGAGAAGUGACUGUCAGCUGGAGGCUCUGAUUCACAGAAACACAGAGGUCACGUGAGAUAUAAAGUCAAACAGAAAGAGAGAUAUGUGUACCUGGAACAUUUUUUUAAAUAAUGAGUUGAUUUGGAGAGUUGGUUGAAUCCGCUGAAAAGCAUUAUAAGACCCACCACGUUUGUUCCAGUGGAUAUACUGUCCACCCACCCAUUCACUCAACAGUAUUCACGGACCACUUACUACCAGCUGGUUACUAGGACAUGCAAAACAAAAGCCCUUGACCUCACAGAACUUGCACCCAGAUGAAGUGUCCAAGGAGAGAAGGCUUUCACUAUCCAUUGGAAACGUGGGGAAAGGGGAGGACCACUUGAGGAGUGGAGGGGAGGUGGACAGGUCCCAUCCUGCCAGCUCUUGCUCUUGUACUCUUAACAUUCAGAGAAAUGAGGAGCCGUUGAAGAUUUUUAAGUAGGGAAAUAAAAUGGUCAGAUUAGCUUCUAAGGGUCCUCUU
rnacentral:lncRNA from 1 species